GACAGAGGGUGCAAACGUUGCUCGGAAUCACUGGGCGUAAAGGGCGUGUAGGCGGGAAGGAAAGUCAGAUGUGAAAUCCCCAGGCUCAACCUGGGAACUGCAUUUGAAACUCCCUUUCUUGAGUAUCGGAGAGGAAAGCGGAAUUCCUGGUGUAGAGGUGAAAUUCGUAGAUAUCAGGAGGAACACCAGUGGCGAAGGCGGCUUUCUGGACGAUAACUGACGCUGAGACGCGAAAAGCGUGGGGGAGCAAACAGG
rnacentral:rRNA from 1 species